GCGUCUAUGCCUCCACCCAUGGGCAAGGAGCUGUAUGGGAGCUCCUCCCUUUUUGGAAAAUGAAUGUUCACUGCUUAGGGAUGUAUUAGGAAAUAUAUUAUUAAAAUCAGAGGAAGAGCUGCCGAGGAACGAUCAUUCUGAACUUGUGGGUGAAGGCAUUUACGUAACGUCUAAGAAAACCAUCGGGAAGGUUAAAGUUCAAGUUCGUAAAGUGAAAAUGGGGACGGAGCAACCCACUGGUUGCAUGUUUACAUCUUUAAAGUCUUCAUCCACGGUGAAGCUGGAAACAUUUCAGCAAAGGUUAUCAAAUGUGAAAUUGGUUGUUUCAUCCAAUAGAAAAAAAAGAAAAAAAGGAAAUAAAAAGAAAAAAAGGAAAAAAAAAGAAAAGAAAAAAAGCUGACAUUGUAAGAUGCUCUCUAUAUUGCAUAGAAGCGUUGCACACUUAAUUGUUGGGACUCGUAGAUACUUGAGAGAAGUACCCAAGCUCAUAAAGUGCAUCAACUUAUGAGUUGGUGCAAGAAUCAUAUUCAUGUUUGUUGAGAUUGAAAAGUUCACCCGAAGAGGAUGCAUUGGGAAUGUAACCGGUAUCUGCUUGCCAGAUGGAUUUGGAGAUGAUCUGAUAAUCGAAGUCCAUGAUUCGAAGGGAAAGUAUUGCGGGCAUGCUCGUGUUCAGGUGGCUGACAUUUCUGAUGAAUCGGGGAAUAAGCAUUGUCAGUGUGUUAUAUCUCGGGAACCAGAGCAAGAAAAAGCUGGGAAAAAUACAGCUAUACAUCAACUAUUCAACCACUGCAGAUGAAAGUAGUUGCAAGGUAUGCAGAUGAAUAUAGUUACAAGAUAUAUGCAGAUGUUUUAUAGUUCAU